CAGUUGCCUGAGAGUAGAACUGUAUUUGAGAUAUGGAAACUCCUAUCUUAUAUCUAAAAAGCGUUGUUGCUACCUGGUUGAGCUCCAGUUCCACUUCCUGGGUGAUUGGGACCAUCAUCCCCAACGUGUGUGGACUGGGGCUCUUCCUCCUGUUCCUUCCCUCCCUCCAGAGGAAUUCGUCCUUACAACCACCUUACAAAAGGAGAAAGGUCAGGAAGUGUCAAGUGGAGCCGAGAGGGAGGAGCAGCAGGAGCAGGAAGAAAAGGGAAGCUUUGAAAGCUUACAGAGCUGGCUGGAAGGACCUGGCAGAAUUGGGGGGCCUGAUGUCCCUUUCACAAAGCUACCUGGGGAGGCUGUCUUCUAAGGGAUACUUCCAUCGCUUGUCAUCUCAAGACUCCCCUGGCGAAGCAUGCAAGACAGCGUCUGCUAGAGUCCACCAGCCACGCGGGAAGCCUGUGGAAGGUGCUCCUCUCACCAGGAAUCCAGCACUUUCCCUGGCUCUUCUGACCCAGUGCACUCUACCUUUGGCCUCCACUCUGC
rnacentral:lncRNA from 1 species